AACGAACGCUGGCGGCAUGCCUAACACAUGCAAGUCGAACGAGACCUUCGGGUCUAGUGGCGCACGGGUGCGUAACGCGUGGGAACCUGCCCUUAGGUUCGGAAUAACUCCCCGAAAGGGGUGCUAAUACCGGAUACUGUCUUCGGACCAAAGAUUUAUCGCCUUUGGAUGGGCCCGCGUUGGAUUAGCUAGUUGGUAGGGUAAAAGCCUACUAAGGCGACGAUCCAUAGCUGGUCUGAGAGGAUGAUCAGCCACACUGGGACUGAGACACGGCCCAGACUCCUACGGGAGGCAGCAGUGGGGAAUAUUGGACGAUGGGCGAAAGCCUGAUCCAGCAAUGCCGCGUGAGAGAUGAAGGCCUUAGGGUUGUAAAGCUCUUUUACCCGGGAUGAUAAUGACAGUACCGGGAGAAUAAGCUCCGGCUAACUCCGUG
rnacentral:rRNA from 1 species